UGAAUGGCCGCGGUACUUUGACCGUGCUAAGGUAGCGCAAUCAAUUGGCUUUUAAUUGGGGUCAGGAAUGAAUGGAGUUUACGUGGUUCAGCUGUCUUUUAGCUAAUAUAUUGAAGUUACUAUAUAAGUGAAAAAGCUUAUUGUUUGAAAAAGGACGAGAAGACCCUUAGAGUUUCACCUAAUGUGAAUAAUUUUUUAUGUGAAUUCAUAAUGGUUUUGUUGGGGCAACAUGGGAGCAGUAGAAAAACAUAUAAAUCUCCUAAAUUGAACUUACCGAAGCAUUAAAUUUGAAUAAACUACCUUAGGGAUAACAGCAUAAUUUUAAAAAUAAGUUUGUGACCUCGAUGUUGGACUAGGAAACUUAAAGGCUAGCCGUCUUUAAGGGAAGUUCUGUUCGAACUAUAAUUCCU
rnacentral:rRNA from 1 species